UAGGGAAUCUUCCGCAAUGGACGAAAGUCUGACGGAGCAACGCCGCGUGAGUGAUGAAGGCUUUCGGGUCGUAAAACUCUGUUGUUAGGGAAGAACAAGUACGAGAGUAACUGCUCGUACCUUGACGGUACCUAACCAGAAAGCCACGGCUAACUACGUGCCAGCAGCCGCGGUAAUACGUAGGUGGCAAGCGUUAUCCGGAAUUAUUGGGCGUAAAGCGCGCGCAGGCGGUUUCUUAAGUCUGAUGUGAAAGC
rnacentral:rRNA from 1 species